AUACGUAGGGGGCGAGCGUUGUCCGGAAUGAUUGGGCGUAAAGGGCGCGUAGGCGGCCUGUUAAGUCUGGAGUGAAGGUCCUGUUUUCAAGAUGGGAAUUGCUUUGGAUACUGAUGGGCUUGAGUGCAGGAGAGGUUAUCGGAAUUCCCGGUGUAGCGGUGAAAUGCGUAGAGAUCGGGAGGAACACCAGUGGCGAAGGCGGGUAACUGGACUGCAACUGACGCUGAGGCGCGAAAGUGUGGGGAGCAAACAGGAUUAGAUACCCUGGUAGUCCACACUGUAAACGAUGAAUGCUAGGUGUAAGAGGUAUCGACCCCUUUUGUGCCGGAGUUAACACAAUAAGCAUUCCGCCUGGGGAGUACGGCCGCAAGGUUGAAACUCAAAUGAAUUGACGGGG
rnacentral:rRNA from 1 species